rnacentral:lncRNA from 1 species
AUUAUUUUAAACUCUAAGGGUGGUCACAAUUAUUUUACAAACAUUUCUCCACCUCUUGAACGGUUGACAAAUUGUUUAACAUUAUUUUUAAUUUUUUUCUUUAGCAAAAAUAUUGUAUACCAUUUGAUUUAAUCCAAUGGUAUACAAUUAAAACAUUAUUGAUGCUGUAAAAAAAAUUACAGCAUCAUAGAGGAACCCAUA